AAAUACUCAGCUCUCUUCUCUUCCCCGCCUCCUCACCUUCAACUCCUUCCUCUCCCUUGCCGUCCGCCUCUUCUAUUCUUCCUUCUUCUCCAUUUAAUUACUUCGGUUUCUCCCACUUCUGUAGCCUCUGGCUUUUCUAUUGCCUCGGUCUCUCUCGCUUCCUCUCCCUCCGCUGAGCUGUCUUCUUCUUUCUUCUCCUCCUCCCCUUCACGAAAGGCAUUCUCUUCUUCGGGAAUGAGGCCUCCUUUGUCAACGGAGAAGCUCCAUCUUCUCCUACGUUCGACGGAGAAACUGGCUCUCCUCGCUUCUUUCUCGCUGGAGUAGCUGUGACUCCUUACAUCCCUCUCCGUGGAAAAGCUGUGCCGCCUCCUUUCCUUGUUUUUGGAAGAGGAGCUGCGCCCCGCUCCUUUCCUUUGCUCGGCGACGCGGGCCCGCCGCCUCCUCCUCCUCCUCCUCGAUCGUGUUCAGAUCGAUCCCCAUCCUCUCCCUCCCAACACCCCACGCCAAAGAGUAGCAGAAAGAAGAACGGAGAAGCCCAAAGGUGCAGUAGAU
rnacentral:lncRNA from 1 species